rnacentral:tRNA from 1 species
GGGCCGGUAGAUCAGCUGGAAGAUCGCCACCUUGGCAUGGUGGAGGUCUCGGGUUCAAAGAGGGGGUUGCACCCCCUUCACCCCU